GACGAACGCUGGCGGCGUGCUUAACACAUGCAAGUCGAACGGAAAGGCCCCCACCUUGGUGGGGGUGCUCGAGUGGCGAACGGGUGAGUAACACGUGGGUGAUCUGCCCUGUACUUCGAGAUAAGCUUGGGAAACUGGGUCUAAUACCGGAUAGGACCAUGGUUUAGUGUCUCAUGGUGGAAAAAUUAUUGUUUUGGUGCAGGAUGAGCUCGCGGCCUAUCAGCUUGUUGGUGGGGUAAUGGCCUACCAAGGCGUCGACGGGUAGCCGGCCUGAGAGGGUGGACGGCCACAUUGGGACUGAGAUACGGCCCAGACUCCUACGGGAGGCAGCAGUGGGGAAUAUUGCACAAUGGGCGCAAGCCUGAUGCAGCGACGCCGCGUGGGGGAUGACGGCCUUCGGGUUGUAAACUCCUUUCGUUAGGGACGAAGCCACACCUUUUUUGGGUGUGGUGACGGUACCUUUGUUAAGAAGCACCGGCUAACUACGUG
rnacentral:rRNA from 1 species